GUAGGUGAACCUGCGGAAGGAUCAUUACCACGUAUAAAAUUUAUUCGAUUAAACGUGAACGAGAUAGUUAUUUGAAUUGAGAGUAAAAUCUCAAGUGUUUAAAAUAAAAAUCAUGAGAAAAAGAUCUUAGUCAAUAUGUUAGGGUACAUGUUGAUGCGGUUCAAGUAUUUCAUGGUUUGAAUUUUAUUACAUAAAAUAAUUAUCCAAUAAUUUUUUUACCUUUGAAAACUCAUCAUUACUUAUCCUUGCU
rnacentral:misc_RNA from 1 species